rnacentral:rRNA from 1 species
GGUUAAUAUUCCUGUACUUGGUGUUACUGCGAAGGGGGGACGGAGAAGGCUAUGUUGGCCGGGCGACGGUUGUCCCGGUUUAAGCGUGUAGGCUGGUUUUCCAGGCAAAUCCGGAAAACCAAGGCUGAGGCGUGAUGACGAGGCACUACGGUGCUGAAGCGACAAAUGCCCUGCUUCCAGGAAAAGCCUCUAAGCAUCAGGUAACAUCAAAUCGUACCCCAAACCGACACAGGUGGUCAGGUAGAGAAUACCAAGGCGCUUGAGAGAACUCGGGUGAAGGAACUAGGCAAAAUGGUGCCGUAACUUCGGGAGAAGGCACGCUGAUAUGUAGGUGAAGCGACUUGCUCGUGGAGCUGAAAUCAGUCGAAGAUACCAGCUGGCUGCAACUGUUUAUUAAAAACACAGCACUGUGCAAACACGAAAGUGGACGUAUACGGUGUGACGCCUGCCCGGUGCCGGAAGGUUAAUUGAUGGGGUUAGCGGCAACGCGAAGCUCUUGAUCGAAGCCCCGGUAAACGGCGGCCGUAACUAUAACGGUCCUAAGGUAGCGAAAUUCCUUGUCGGGUAAGUUCCGACCUGCACGAAUGGCGUAAUGAUGGCCAGGCUGUCUCCACCCGAGACUCAGUGAAAUUGAACUCGCUGUGAAGAUGCAGUGUACCCGCGGCAAGACGGAAAGACCCCGUGAACCUUUACUAUAGCUUGACACUGAACAUUGAGCCUUGAUGUGUAGGAUAGGUGGGAGGCUUUGAAGUGUGGACGCCAGUCUGCAUGGAGCCGACCUUGAAAUACCACCCUUUAAUGUUUGAUGUUCUAACGUUGGCCCGUAAUCCGGGUUGCGGACAGUGUCUGGUGGGUAGUUUGACUGGGGCGGUCUCCUCCUAAAGAGUAACGGAGGAGCACGAAGGUUGGCUAAUCCUGGUCGGACAUCAGGAGGUUAGUGCAAUGGCAUAAGCCAGCUUGACUGCGAGCGUGACGGCGCGAGCAGGUGCGAAAGCAGGUCAUAGUGAUCCGGUGGUUCUGAAUGGAAGGGCCAUCGCUCAACGGAUAAAAGGUACUCCGGGGAUAACAGGCUGAUACCGCCCAAGAGUUCAUAUCGACGGCGGUGUUUGGCACCUCGAUGUCGGCUCAUCACAUCCUGGGGCUGAAGUAGGUCCCAAGGGUAUGGCUGUUCGCCAUUUAAAGUGGUACGCGAGCUGGGUUUAGAACGUCGUGAGACAGUUCGGUCCCUAUCUGCCGUGGGCGCUGGAGAACUGAGGGGGGCUGCUCCUAGUACGAGAGGACCGGAGUGGACGCAUCACUGGUGUUCGGGUUGUCAUGCCAAUGGCACUGCCCGGUAGCUAAAUGCGGAAGAGAUAAGUGCUGAAAGCAUCUAAGCACGAAACUUGCCCCGAGAUGAGUUCUCCCUGAGACUUAGAGUCUCCUGAAGGAACGUUGAAGACGACGACGUUGAUAGGCCGGGUGUGUAAGCGCAGCGAUGCGUUGAGCUAACCGGUACUAAUGAACCGUGAGGCUUAACCUU